rnacentral:rRNA from 1 species
AUUGAACGCUGGCGGCAGGCCUAACACAUGCAAGUCGAACGGUAACAGGAAGAAGCUUGCUUCUUUGCUGACGAGUGGCGGACGGGUGAGUAAUGUCUGGGAAACUGCCUGAUGGAGGGGGAUAACUACUGGAAACGGUAGCUAAUACCGCAUAACGUCGCAAGACCAAAGAGGGGGACCUUCGGGCCUCUUGCCAUCGGAUGUGCCCAGAUGGGAUUAGCUAGUAGGUGGGGUAACGGCUCACCUAGGCGACGAUCCCUAGCUGGUCUGAGAGGAUGACCAGCCACACUGGAACUGAGACACGGUCCAGACUCCUACGGGAGGCAGCAGUGGGGAAUAUUGCACAAUGGGCGCAAGCCUGAUGCAGCCGUGCCGCGUGUAUGAAGAAGGCCUUCGGGUUGUAAAGUACUUUCAGCGGGGAGGAAGGGAGUAAAGUUAAUACCUUUGCUCAUUGACGUUACCCGCAGAAGAAGCACCGGCUAACUCCGAG